UUUGUAUGUUUGUGAAUGUUUCCAACAGAGACUCAGUACUGAGUAGUAGUAGUUUGGUGUCUCAGCUCUCUCUGUUUACUAUGCUUUUGUAUAUCAUUAUAUUAUUUAAAUCCCAGGGGGCGGAGCCUAAUAGGCAUUGACUAUCUUUUUUAAAGAUUUUUUGUGUGUGGCAUGUUCAGCCCUUUAUUAUGACAGGAAGCUGAAGUCAUGAAAGGGGAGAGAGAGGGGGAAUGACAUGCAGCAAAGGGCCGCAGGUUGGAGUCAAACCUUCGGCCGCUGCGUCAGGGACUGAGCCUCUCUAUAUGGGCGCGUGCUACCAGGUACUCAGGCGCCCAGGCAUUGACUUUCUAACUAGCCAAAAACAGAGAGAUUUAAAAUGUGGCCAAAAUAUUACGACAUAUUUUUAUUAAUAAUGAUAAGAAUCUUUUAAAUAAUAAUUAAUUGCUGUUGUUCCUCUCAAUCCUGAGCAGCAACAAGCCUUAUUGUUGCAGUUAACAUACAAGAAAGUGAUGCUACUGGGGCAUCCUGUUAGCUGAAUGGUUAAUAUAUAAUAAG